GCGGAUGCAGUUCGACCGCUCUCUACUUGCGGCGUUGGCGGACAGGUGGUGUGCGGAGACGCACACGUUCCACUUGCCGAGCGGGAAGAUGGCCCCCACGUUGUCGGACGUGUCGUACCUGCUCGAGCUUCCCAUUGCGGGGGGAAGUUGUUGACUCGGUUGCCGUGCCAUGUACCUGGAGGGUGGAGCUUCAGGAGCGGUUUGCUCUAGUGAACCCGCCAAAUUUUUUGGCCGUACCUGACGCGCUCGGUCCCGCCAAGUGUUGGUCUCAGGAUCUCCACCCUCUGGCUGGACAGCAUGAGGUGUCGCGAUGCCUGGAGGCAUAUCUGUUGUGGUUCUUCAACUCGGUAAGUUCUGGGGCUGCUAACCGAUAGGCAUUCUUUGCUAAAGGCUUGGUUCCAGGGACUAAGUCAAUAGUGAACUCUACAUCUCUUUCUGGAGGCAUACCGGGUAAUUCAUCUGGAAACACAUCUGCGAAUUCCUGAACUACUGGCACAUCUUCUGAGGAUUAUGCUUGAAUGUGGUUCACCAUGGAGUCUGAUAGGCUAGACUGGAUUAGGCAUGUGGCUGUUAACCCUUGGUGGUUGGUGACAGUCACUGCUCUCUCAGCACAGGCUAUGUUUUCUCGGUGCUUGGUGAACCAGUCCAUACCAAGUAUGACAUCUAUCCCUUUGGAAGCAAGGAUUAUUAGGUUGGCAAGGAAUACUACCCCACUUAGAUUUAUAGGGAUAUCUAAGACACCUAAGUAGCAAGGUAUAUGACUUACAGGCGAACGUGUCAUUAGCGGCAUCUUAAGGAUUAUUAUAAAUAUCAUGCUUUCCCACAAAGUGGGAGGAUUUAAAGGAAUGUGAUGCUCCAGAAUCAAAGAGCAGUGA